AAAAUGACCAAGAGAUGAAAGACAUCUUGAUAAAAGAUGAGGAUCUGCUCUUGACGGACAUCUCAAGGAGCUCUGUCUUCAGCUGUGGGAGCCAGGCUGAGUUUCUGUAUCUCUUGCUGGAGCUCUCCACAUCCCCAGCUGCUGUCACUUGAGCUGAGAACCAGAGCCAUGAGAUCUGGGACGCACAGAUGGGCACACACGUUUCCCAUCCUAUUGACCAUGAGCUGUCCCCACUGAGUGUGAUGGAGAAGGGGGGAAAACCACUCGUACUGUGCCUGCUUCGCUAUUUCUGGCACCAGCGCUCACAGGGGAAUCGGAGCACAAACUCCUUGCUCGAAGGGGGCGGCGAUUUCUCCUUCCUACUCCUCAAAGCCCAAACAAACAGCUGUGGGGGGAUGUGGGCUCAUCCCACGUGUUCCUCUGCACCGUGUCCUCGUGCUCAGCGCCGUGCCGGGGGGGCUCAGCACGUCCCUGCUUGCAGCGUCCUGGUGCUGACGCCCUGGCAGUGACGGCGAGGUCGGGGCGAGGGUUUUGCAUUUCCCUGCCCGGCUGUUUACCCUGGGCUCAGGCUGCAUCCAAACAACUGCUACAGCACGUCCUGAGUCACUACGGGCUCUGGCAGACAGGCGGGUUUGCCUGCCAGGUUCCCAGUACAGAAAGCGAGCUGGGCUCAGGAUGAAGGCACGACCUGCCUUUGUUUCGUGCCAUGCG